rnacentral:rRNA from 1 species
UAUGUUUAAAAUUUUUAUAUAAUUAUAGGUUAAAUUUUAAUUAUUUAAAAUGUAUAGUUAUAAUUUUAAAUUUUGUUAAUCGAAUUAGAUUAGUACCUAAUUAGUCAAAAGUUAAAAAAGCAGAAGUAAAGUAAAAUUUAAACUGAAAGAAUAUUGGCAGAUUUUCUAAAUUAUCUUUGGAGGUUGAGUAAUAAUUGAGAACCCUCAUUAACUACUUUUUUAGUUGUCUCAUGUAUGAUCGUUUAUUAUAUGCUUAAGGGAUAUAAUUAAAAAUUUUUAUUUAAAAAAAUAGAUAUAUAUUUGGUUUAUAUAAAAGUAAUAUUUGACCUACAGUAAUUUGUAAUUGUGGAUCUAUUUUUUAGUAAAGUAGUGAAAAUGUAAAAGACAGUAAAAAAAUUUUUAUGAUUUUUUGAA